rnacentral:rRNA from 1 species
AUUGAACGCUGGCGGCAGGCCUAACACAUGCAAGUCGAGCGGUAGAGAGGUGCUUGCAUCUCUUGAGAGCGGCGGACGGGUGAGUAAUGCCUAGGAAUCUGCCUAGUGGUGGGGGAUAACGUUCGGAAACGGACGCUAAUACCGCAUACGUCCUACGGGAGAAAGCGGGGGAUCUUCGGACCUCGCGCCAUUAGAUGAGCCUAGGUCGGAUUAGCUAGUUGGUGAGGUAAUGGCUCACCAAGGCGACGAUCCGUAACUGGUCUGAGAGGAUGAUCAGUCACACUGGAACUGAGACACGGUCCAGACUCCUACGGGAGGCAGCAGUGGGGAAUAUUGGACAAUGGCGAAGA